rnacentral:rRNA from 1 species
CUUGGUCAUUUAGAGGAAGUAAAAGUCGUAACAAGGUUUCCGUAGGUGAACCUGCGGAAGGAUCAUUACAGAGUUCAUGCCCUCACGGGUAGAUCUCCCACCCUUGAAUACCUUACCUUUGUUGCUUUGGCGGGCCACGUUCGCGUGUCGGCUUCGGCUGGCUGUGCCCGCCAGAGGACCCAAACUCUUUUUGUUUAGUGAUGUCUGAGUACUAUAUAAUAGUUAAAACUUUCAACAACGGAUCUCUUGGUUCUGGCAUCGAUGAAGAACGCAGCGAAAUGCGAUAAGUAAUGUGAAUUGCAGAAUUCAGUGAAUCAUCGAAUCUUUGAACGCACAUUGCGCCCCUUGGUAUUCCGAGGGGCAUGCCUGUUCGAGCGUCAUUAUGACCACUCAAGCCCGGCUUGGUGUUGGGGUCCGCGGUCCCGCGGCCCUUAAAAUCAGUGGCGGCGCCAUCUGGCUCUAAGCGUAGUAAUACUCCUCGCUAUAGGGUCCCGGUGGAUGCUUGCCAUCAACCCCCCAUCUCACGGUUGACCUCGGAUCAGGUAGGGAUACCCGCUGAACUUAAGCAUAUCAAUAAGCGGAGGA